rnacentral:lncRNA from 1 species
UUUUGAGACGGAGUUUCACUCUUGUUACCCAGGCUGGUGUGCAAUGGCGCGAUCUCAGCUCACCGCAACCUCCGGCUCCUGGGUUCAGGCAAUUCUCCUGCCUCAGCCUCCUGAGUAGCUGGGAUUACAGGCACGCACCACCAUGCCCAGCUAAUUUUUUGUAUUUUUAGUAGAGACGGGGUUUCACCAUGUUGACCAGGAUGGUCUUGAUCUCUUGACCUCGUGAUCCACCUGCCUCGGCCUCCCAAAGUGCUGGGAUUACAGGCUUGAGCCACCGUGCCCGGCCCUCAACACUUUCUUUUAUAUCUCCAUUUUGCAGAAGAGGAAAGCUGGGCUCCUAGGAUGUGGCGCUCACUCCUUUCACCACCCGGCUGGAGGCUUCGGUUUUCCAGCUUGCAGCUUGGGGUGGAAGCCUCUGAGUGCCCUGGUUCCAGGAUGCACCUCUCCUUCUGUAUUUGCCAUUUGAGAGCGCCUUGUAGGAGCCACGACCCAAUGUUAACAGGUUAAUGCCAAACGCAGAGAAAGAUUUUGUUCCUUCCUAUUCUACAUGAAAGGAAUACGAGUCUUCAGAGAGGUUAAGUGACUUCCUCAGCGUCUCGCAGUCAGUCGGUGGCAGAGCCCGGGUGUACAGUGCCUGCUUGUUAGGACCAAAAGCUGGACACGGCUGGAUUCACCCCUGGUGGCCAAGCUGGGAAGAGGCAUUUAGGGGUCCUUGUGCAGCCUCGUGGCCCCUCCCACUAGGUCCUAGAGCCACAUUCCUUGAGGGGAGGCAGGAUUCUAGCAUCGCCCGGUGCCUUCAACAGGAACCCUUAGCCGGGUUUGGGGUGCGGUGUGGCCUGUGGGGCGAGGUGGAGCGGGGCGGAGACGGACUCAGUCUUCGCAACUCCAUUUGCAUACGGAGGCGACUCGCUUCCUUCCCGCCCCUCCGCCUCGCUCUUCCCUCCUUCUCCCGUCCUUUCCACUCUGCGUCUUCUGUCCCCCGUUCCUCCCCAGCGGACCCCUCCUUCGAGACUCCCUCGUGGGUUUCCCAGCUCCCGAGUGCUUUGCCCUUGCCGAGCGCGUUUUCUGGAGUCACCUGGGGGAGGGGAGUCCUGGGCAGGGCUGGGUUGGGGAGGACGCCUGGGGCACUGCCCGGCGCUAACAAAGCGAGCCGGUACCGACCGGCGUGGGCGUGGAGCGGGCGGAGCAACCGUAGCCUCCGCGGCCGAGAGUGCAGCGUGUGA